UGUACCAUGAUUCCAUGAAUCAUACAUGGUUUUCCUUAAAAUUGUUUUCCUUGAAAUGUCUGUCCAAGUUGCCAGUUUGAUGGUGCUACAUUGUAAGAUGCGAGUGUUUUUCCAGUGCUGCUGGUUACCUCAAAGGACAAAGGCUGAUGUUGAAGGUUGACAUUGCAGUGCCAAUUCAUUCCCCAAUUCCCUGCCAUUGGUAUCCAUCCUGUUCUAGAUCCCUUCAGUUUCACAGCAAACACUUCACCUUCUUGCCCCACAUUAGUAAUUAGAACUUGAUAGAAAUGAGAACUUCCACUCAUUGUAAACUUCAUCCCAACACUUCUUUCACACUUCACUCUUUUAUACUGAACCGGAAUAAUAUCGGCUUUUGUUUUGGCAAUUUCAGAAAAUGCAGGUUGUGACAACUCAAAAUGUUGUCUUGGAAAGUUACACCAGCCACCAUAAUCAACUGAGAGACCGUAAUUAGGUAGUGAGGGACAGAAAUCAGGGGGUAACAAUUACAGAAGGGCUUCAAGCACACCCACAAGAUAUGGUCAACACAUCUGAUCUCGUAGCAAGCCCCACACGUAGUCCCUCUGUUGAACAAUGUGCUUAAUCCAACAUGUGCUUUCCGUAGCUAGCUUUGUGAAGAUCUCCGUAACCACAAGCUCCUUCUUAAUGAGGAUCCCUCUGUGUCUCAUACAUUCUUUGCUCUUAUUGUGCUGGGAAUGGAGGGAUCUCUAUUGAUGUCCCUUAACUUGUUGAUUGGCCUACUAUUAUUGCUGAUUGUCGUUUGGCUUGGUGCAACAUUGUGAAUGCAGUACCUGUUUUAUGCGAUGCAAUUUUUGCACCAGCUGGAUGGAUCAAAAUUCAGGGCCAUCAGUCAUGCUUUUGGGUGAUGAGGUAAGUAAAUGCAUCCUUGACCAUGCGUCUGUUUUGAAUUCAUUGCAAUGUGUAACUGAUUUUUCAUGUUGUUGUUGCUGCUGAUUGCAGAUUGAGCCUACAAUGGUUUUGCUAGCAGGAUAGUGCAUAAAUCUUGACUGAAGUAUGUCAUGUCACACAAUUUGAAUCUCAUCAGUUCCUUUUUGGCAUGAUGUCGUUGGCUCCAUGUUUAGCACCUUUGGUUCUGGUUUGGGGAUGUUUAUGUAGGUUCAAUGACUGGACUGGUUCAACAUAUGCUGCUUAGCACUCGUCAUGAUGGGACUGUGAGUGCGGAGUUGGGUAGGGAUGUAGGGGUCGGUCUAGUUGGUAGGCGGCGUGCGUGCAGGAGGUGACUGAUUCCAUGGUCCGUAGCUAGGGGCAAGUCGUGGGCGUCGUGUAAGCACAGUGGAGGAUGCAAGGUGCAAUGGAGUGGUAUGGCAGCUGGGCGGGUAUGGGCAGCAAGAAGCAAGCAGGGGCUGGUUGUCGGACGGGUGGCCGUAAGAGUGGGCCACACGUAGAGGUGAGCAGGUAUUGGAGAGGCGGUGAGUCGGUGCGUGUGAAUAUGCCAUGCGGAGUGGAAGGGAGACGCUAGUCGUGCAGUCGGCAGCUUCGCAGGAGAAUGUGUAGGGAAAAGAGGCUGAACCCCCAGGGGCCAAGGUGUCAAACAAUAGCGACAGCAAUCGGUCUCAGUAGGGGCGUGCAGAGCGGGCCGGUGGUAGUGAUCAACAGAGUGCGAGAGCUGACGCAACUGGGUCGAGGUGUGGCGGCAGCUGCAUGGCGACGGCGGGGCCAAUUGGACCAGCAAUUGCGUGUGAAUGUGUGCUGGAGGGUAGAAGGAGAGACACGGGGGUGUGUGAACGUCAUAAGAAGAGGGGCAAAGGGCAGCAGGUGGGGGGAGGGGAGCGAUCACCAGAGCCAAGCUCAGUCUUUAACCAGCUCCAGAAGGGCGUGGUUGAAAAGAAGUUGCCAACUGAGUGCAAAACGUUGGUGGCUGCCUCGGGUAAGUGUGCGUCGUAAGCUGCCACCAGGACACGGCGGUGCGCCAUAGAUGUGCCGUUGAGCCCUAAGCCACGAUGCUGUCAAUAAACAUACAGAGGAACUUGGGACUGCGUGGUGGGGGAAGGUCACUGGUAAGCCGUGAUUGCGGUUUCGCAGUCAAACAGUGUGCGAGGGACCGUGCCAGACGAGUGCCCUUGUGGGCGGGAAACGGCGUGUGCGGUCCCGGAGUGAGGCCGGCGUCAAGAAGGCUCGUCGAUAGGCCAAGACCUGGAAGUGGAGUUGCAGUGUCUGGGGGGACCGUGGUCAAGAAGAGUCGUGAGAGUACUAGAAAGCGAACACGGGAACAAGCAGGGGGUUCCAGGACUCUGUCGGGGGCCAGGGCCUAAGAAAGAGAUAACAGAAGCCGAAGUGCUAGCUCAGGAGUGCAGGCGAGCGUAGAUGGCCUCACCACGGGAGGAGAGUCAGCCAAAAACUCAGCAGUACAAAAGCGUGUGGGGACACGGUCGGAAAGAUGGCGCAGGACCGUGCAGAUGGAGGUCGGGAGCAAUAGGAGGCAGAGCAGCAGUGUAAGAGAGGCACUCGCAGGGGGAGGUGGGUCAAGGUGCGGAGCCAGAUGGUGAACCAAGCAACUGGGUCCAUGUCAUGGCGGAGCAGCACGAAGUGCAAGGGGGAAGAAAGAUGCAACGUCAUAGUCGAAGGGGCGACUGGUGGGCGUAGUGGUCCAUUGUCUCGGAGCUGGUAUGGUGGUGAGGGGAAGAGGAACGAUUCACGAUGAGAUAUGGGACGGACUGGCAACGGGUGUGAAGGGUGGGGGUGGUGGGAGGGUGGGGGUGACGGGGGGCAAGGGUGAUCAAAGGCUAACAGGUUGGACCAAAUGGGUAACAAAUGUGGCAAAAAGGGUCAAAGUUGGGUAUGGCGGUGGGAUGCCAGGCGUAUAGUGUGGUGAUAAGUAGACAUGGAAUAGAGAGGGAAAUGGUGUGAGAAAAGGGGUGGGAUAGGGGGCCAGGGGGGGUCUGGUAUGAACGGUUGAGGUUGGACGGUGGGGAAAAAGAAAGGAAGGAUAUAGGACUUAUGGAAUCAGGCCAGGAAAGUGAGACCAGUAAGUGAGUAUGGGGAAAGGUGAGGCAGAAGUCAAGGGCAUGUGAGUGUUGCAAGUGGGCGGGGUGACACAAGAAGGGGUGGGUAGUGUACCAGUACCAGUAUGUUGUGCCACAUGUAACAAGUCACAAGGAAACACACAGUGACGGGAGAUCCUAUAGGACCUAAUGCCGUCAGAGAGAACAGUUAAUAAAGUGUUAGAGGGACCAUAAAGCGGGGGGACAGUGGCCCCGAGGUUGUAAGGAGCUGUUGUCGACGUAGAGAAUAGAAGCAGGCACGUUCGCAUAGGAGCAGAGGGGGGAGAUGGGGUGAAAUAUGGUAAGAUGACCCUAGAGUGGAGUCCUGGAAUGCCUGAGGAAAUAAGAGAACACUGCCGUGGUCAGAAUCGGCAAGAUAAGCAAGCGCAUAAGAAGAAGUCCGGCGGGGACGGUGGAAAAGCGGCCGUGAGCAGCGAAACAGAAUGUGGACCGGGAGUACCAAAAGAAAGGGGAUACACAGGUAAGACCAGGCCGUGACGCCGCACAGGAGUCGUGAACACGAAGCAGCUAGAAGUAGGAGAGUGAUCAAGGGGGGUCGGGAGUCACCGGAAAGCUGUUGGUCGUGGAACAUUCCACGUGCGAUGUCGUGGAAAGCGGAAAACGUGGUUGGGAGGCCACAAGGACGGUCGAACGUGAGCGGCGGGUAAACGGCGGUCGAUGCGUGAUAUAAGCAGAAAAAAACGGGGCCGUGGAAGUUUGCCACCAAGUGGCAUCGACCGGAAUGUGGCAGGAAAACGUGCGUUUGUUCGAUGCGGGAAAAGCGGGAAAUCGUGGCCUGAAUGCCCACGGCGUGAGGUAUAGAGUACCGGAAAUCGUGGCCGGAAGGCUCACAAGGUGGCAUGUCUGACCGGAGCUGUGCGGAAUGGCGUCGAGCGUGAAAAGCGGAUAACGUGGCCGGAAUUGCCAUCGUUUGCGGGUCUGUGGAGACUCGGAACGUGGCCUGAAUGCCACAGGGGCGUCGACUCGGAACGUGGAAACGGUCGUCGAGUGUUCGGAAAAGCGGGAUAACGUGGCCGGGAAGUUUAUCUGCCCGGCGGCCGGUGAGCGGAAACGGCGUGAAGUCUUGGCCACAAGGUGGGCAGUCGACCGGAGUCGUCUCGGAAACGGUCGUCGGAUGCUGGGAAUAGUCAGGAAAAAAAUAUCNNNNNNNNNNNNNNNNNNNNNNNNNCUCGCUUACAUUGUAAGAUGCGAGUGUUUUUCCAGUGCUGCUGGUUACCUCAAAGGACAAAGGCUGAUGUUGAAGUUGACAUUGCAGUGCCAAUUCAUUCCCCAAUUCCUUGCCAUUGGUAUCCAUCCUGUUCUAGAUCCCUUCACUUUCACAGCAAACACUUCACCUUCUUCGCCACAUUAGUAAUUAGAACUUAUAGAAUGAGAACUUCCACUCAUUGUAAACUUCAUCCCACCACUUGUUUCACACUUCACUCUACAUCACAUUUACACAAAACAAACAUCUUCAACUUUAGAUUUACACACAUAUAUAUGAUAAUAAUCUAUAUAACACUGUGGUCUGAUAUAUUUAUCUCUACCUUCUAUACUGAACCGGAAUAAUAUCGGCUUUUGUUUUGGCAAUUUCAG
rnacentral:lncRNA from 1 species